rnacentral:tRNA from 1 species
UGCAUCGGCCGGGAAUUGAACCCAGCUUGCCCGCGUGGCAGGCGAGCAUUCUACCACUGAACCACCGAUGG